CCCAGGUAACAAAUGAAAAACUUAGGAUUUCAAACCAAAUCAGGCUUUUGGACCUGCCCUAAAUAGCUGUGGUGACUAAUGCUCUUAAAUCCCAUGUUCUUUCCUCGAUACCAGUAAUUCUUAAUCUUUGGUAUACAUUAGAAUUAAUCUCAGGGAAGGAGGCAGUUGGUUAAAAUGCAAACGCUGUGGCCCCCUCCCCGCUUCAGAGAUCUCCAUUUGGCAGAUAUGGGCUGGAUUCCAGGCAUCUGUAUUUUAAACUCUCCUCCCAGAUGACUCUGUGGCCCCGGUAACGUUAAGGAACACAGCUUUAUACCUGUCUGAGUUAUUGAUGUGCACGUCUGCCUUCCUAACUGGACAAGAGGGGGUCUGGUUGAGCGGCCACUGGCCCUUUCUUGUUUUGGGGUUUUGUUUGGUAUAUGAUGGGUGUUCGAAAGUAUUUACAGAUUAAUAUUUAAAAAGCGAAGAGACCUCAUGUCGGGUUGAAGCAUAGAAUAUGAGCCAAAACAGAGUUUGUAACAGCACGAACAAGAGGUGAAGGGUCUGUGCCAAGGGAGAAAUCCCCACGAAUGUCUCAUGACCUGUUCUGCUUACCUCCCUAGCACCCCCACCCCUAGCAUAAGUUACCCGGGAGUGAGGCUGGGGUCUGCUGUCGGCUCCUGCAUGCCCAGUGCAUACAACGGUCCCUGGCACACAAUGAAGGGAAUGAAAAAAGAAUUAUGUGAUGGCCUGAGUCACAGCAGGAAGGAGUGAGAGUGGAGGGGAUACAGGCUAGUCUUGAGUAUUGCAAGGCUCAGGGGGCAAAACGCUAAGUUACUCCAACACUUAAUUAGCUAUUUUUAUUAAGUGUCCAAGCCUCCUUCAGUUCAUGGGUGUUUUGCUCCUUUUAUCUCAAGAAAGAUGGCAGAAGUUUGUGUCUUUUGGCUUUGAUCACAUUAUUUCUGGGUUUUGUUACUUAAUAAGGCAGAAGUUUAAAUUAACAUCAUUCUCCGUUGCCUGCUUCUGGGUUAGCUGUACAGUAGGGAGCGGUUUUGGCAAUUUUUCAGUGGAGGAAAGAAAAGGAAACCUCUGUUUGGGAACUGUGGGGAGGAAGGAGGGAAAGCCAUUUACCUGAGCCCCUGGGGUUCCAUCUGCUUCCUAGAAAAGAUUUGCCAUGAAAUCAAGUCACCUGACCCUUGUGGGGGCUACAUUCCGGGGGCAGGUAGAAGGGGGACUGGGCCAAAUCCAGCCUCCAGUCAUCACAGGGGCAAAAAGGAAGGUUGGAAGGUGAAUUCACAGUCAUAUCUGUGUUCAGGGCCCUCUCGUGCCUUACAGUGUGGUCAAACAUGCUGUCCGACUGAGCAAAAGCCACCUCUACAGGUCCUCCUUACCAUGUGACUUUGCCCGGGCUCUGAUUCGAGGUCCAUGCCAACAAGAUCUGCAUUUCUUUAUUUUCCCCCAUCCACUCCCUCACCAUAAGGAUAGCUUGGUGGUUUUCAGGGCCCGGUAACCCUUGCUGGCUGCACAUUUGGAUCCCUUGAGCCAAAGGUUUGUGGCUGUAUUAAUUGGCCUCAAAGAAAACCUUGCCUUCACUCAAACUGUUUGAAUACCUCUUGUUGAAUCAUAGGCUUGACUCAAGUGUUAUUAAUUCAAGAAUCAGAAUGCCUUUUGUCCAUAUCAGAUAAACGUUGCCAUAGCAAGUGUAGUGUAAACAGAUCUGCUCAAGCCACAACAACCUAUAGAAGCCCACAGACAAAGGAGGACCAGUCUCGCCUUCACAGAAACCCUGGUGCUGCAGUAAAUGUUACCCACUAGCCUGGGGUACUGCCACAUGAACCAUUGUGCUGAUGAAUGGGCCCUGGGACCCACCGAUCCAGGGAGAAGCCUUUAUCAGUGACUACAUGUUACCACAUGGGAAGCCAGGAUUCUGCGGAAUCCGCUGAAUGGCUACUCGUCAUUGGACACUUUGGCAAUCAAAAGAAUGCAGCCUAGACCUGAGAUCCAGAGCCUGAACCCCAUGAAGAGUGUCACAGGGACAUUUCUUAAUGACAUUUAGUUCCUUGCCCCUCCGUCUCAACGUUUCCAUCCGAAAAUUGGGAACUCGUUCCUGCUCAGCACUUCGUAAGGGAAUGCAGGACAUAGCAUGCCUUUUAUCCAUUCGUGGAGGAGAUGUUCUAUUACAGCAGAGGCAUUUUGCUUUCUUAAACUUGAUUUGGGGGAGUGGAUAUUUAUAUGUAAUCAUUGUAAUGGCAUUUUGAUACUCUUCGGGAAAAAGAAAGUAGUUGAGGGUUGUGUCUAUGUGAAAGUGAAAUACUUCGGUUAGGAUUCCUUUUAUUUUUUUAAUCAAUAAACUAGAGGAAAAGGGAAA